GCAGGAGCAGUGACCAUUAAGAGAAUGCUCUUUAACCAAGUGUCAGCUAUUAUGUUUUGUUUCAUAUACAUCUUGCUGAUUACUCCUGAGAGUAGCUCAUGAGUUCGUUCCUGUCUUUCCUCCUCCUUAAACUCAGGGAGGCCCAGUCAAGCACGGAAACCACGGGGGCAGGUACGUCCUUCCGUGGAAAGAAGUAUACAAAGCCCACAGCUGGCCUCUGUCCUCUCCGCCCUCAGGAGUCACCUCUGAACUAGAGCAGGUUUACGGGGCAUUUGGGAAGAAGCCAUCACCACCCUGUCCUGCCUGGCCCAUCGUAAUCACAAUUAUGUCUCUCAAAUCAGGAACCGUGCUUCCUCCUAACAGCAGAACCACACCAGUUCCACAGAAGCUCUCACCUGGGGUCCUGAGGAGGGGGGUCUCUCACUUUGGGGGCCGCGUCCUGAGGAGCAGGCUGCCCCGGGAGGCCCGGCGCCGGGAGGCCACUGGCCAUCGCUGUUAUGGCCUCACUGCUGACUCGGUGGGCUCUCACCAGCCCCUCACUGCUGCUCCUGCCCCGGAUGGUCCCGAGGUCGGCACAGAAGGCACGUCCCUCUGAUGGUGGUGAAGACAAGGACGCCUGACUACGGGUCUCGCUCAUGGUGAAUGCAGAAUGGGCUCUCCCCAGGCCCCAGGCCUGAGCUGGUUUUCCACCGCACUCGUCAACUUCUCUUAAGGGACCCUCUAUGUCCUUCACCCUCUCAGUCUUUUGGAGGGACCCAACGUGGGGCUGAGCCAGGGGUGGCACGCAGGAAGCCCUAGACCUGAGGACUGGGAGAAGGGCCCAGGCACCAGCUGAGCUGGCCAGCAGGUCUGGGAAGUGGAGGGAUGUACGUACCCCGGCUGCUGCUGCUGCUGCUCUCCACGUCCCGGUCGUUGAUAGGGGAGGUGACAUCCCUGUAGCAGAGGCCCCCCACUUCCAGGGGGUUCUCAUCACUGCUGUUGAAGGUGACGUAGCCGCGUGGAGGCUCCUGCCCUGUGGACAGGAUGGAGGAAGUGAGCCCGGACAGACUCAGGAAGGAUAGCAGGGCCCCGUCCAGGUGCAGCGGCUUCCACGGAGAGCACCCACUGUGAGAGAGGAGCCAGCCUCAGGCAGGAGGCAGGAAACGUGCACUUUCCCGGCCACAACUUCAGCCAGUCUCCACACAGAUUUGCAGUCUACAGGUGAGCAAGGAGGCUCAGGGGUGCAGAGACCAGUUGGCAUGCUCAGCAGGCGCAAGGCGGAGCCAGGACUGGCACGCAGCUCAAGCCCGGUGCUCUCACCAUUACACCAAGCUGUGCAUUUUUCCAGUGAAAAAGCAGGAAAUUAGCUGAAAACCCCUAAUCUCCCCUCCCCAGGCUUUUCUUCCCUGUGACUUUGAAACAGAGGCAUUUAGAGGGAACCCCCCACCAAAAAAAGAGCUGGCUGAAUAAGAAGGUAGCAGGCCCUGGGCUAAAAAUUAACAGCAGUAAUACAAAAUUACAUAACCUUAAACAAGUAGAAAAGGCAGAACACAAAACAAGAGAACAGAAUUCCACAUUUGUCCCAAAACCCCAAAAUGUGCAUUUCUUUGCACAGAAAAACACGGGCUGGUGGGAUUAUAGGCCACUUACUUUCUUCCUUAUAUUUUUACAUAGUCACAAAGCAUUUUUACACUUAGCACAUGCUAUUGUUCAAUGUUUUUUUAGUUGAUGGGAAAGAGAAUGUAUGUACCUAUAGAAAAUUCAAACACUAACACAGGGUAUAAGAGGAAAAACCAGAAAUCUCCCGAAAUGCCAAGGCUGAGAGACAACCACUAUCACUGCUUUGGUAAACAUCCUCCCAGACUUCUCUUUUGGUAUAACUAUACAGAAAAAUAAUUGGGCAUAAAUGGGCUUUGGUCAUAUAUUAUUUUGCCAACUGGAAUGGGUUUCUUUUUAAAAUAGCAUCUCUGUGUGGCUGACAGAUGAGUCCCACACAUAACCCCAGGGAUAAAACUGCUCCUCCCAACUCCCACCAAACCUCGGGGCAGGGACAGGUGGCAGGGGCUCCUCGGAAGGCAAAGGCUCUGCCACUUAAAAGACAAAAACUCAGCCAAAUGUCCCAGAUCUGUGUGCUCAGAAGCCACAAAGGGCACAGAGCCAUCGGGGGAGGCAGCGUGCUCACCAUGGCAGGGCUGUGGGGUCCUCCCUCCAAGCCCGAUCGCCGUGAUCCUGGCCAGAGCUCGGGGCCCCUCGUGGAUGCUGAGGCCCUUCUUCCGACAGGGCCUCUGUCUCGGAGGAAGGGGGCAGGACUCAUCUGAUGAACUCAGGUCUUCAUAUUUUUCUGUGGGUCAAAUGCCAGUAUUAAGACAGUUUGUUCAUGAUGAACUAAUUCACUAAAACUUCUAGUAAACCGGAAGAAAAUCAUCACAACUGGUUUUCUCAAAGUGAAGACGAGAAAAGUGUGUUCCCAAGGACUUAACCUGUAAGAAAUGCACAAGGGCCAGUCCACAUGGGAACCCUGGGGGUGGGGGGUGGGGGUGGCCAACUUGCUAAGUGUGAGGCUGAGCUGAAAGUCAUGAUGGAGGAGCUUAAUUCUCAGUUUUCUCCUUGUCUGUGCCUUCUUUUUUUAACAAUAAGCAUGCAUUAUGUUUAUAAUCAAAAAUAAAUUUUGUUCUAAGUUUAAA